rnacentral:rRNA from 1 species
ACUUUCGAUGGUAGGAUAGAGGCCUACCAUGGUGGUAACGGGUAACGGGGUGUUAGGGCACGACACCGGAGAGGGAGCCUGAGAAACGGCUACCACAUCCAAGGAUGGCAGCAGGCGCGCAAAUUACCCAAUCCCGACACGGGGAGGUAGUGACAAUAAAUAACAAUACGGGGUCCUUUCGGGUUUCGUAAUUGGAAUGAGUACAAUUUAAAUCUCUUAACGAGGAACAAUUGGAGGGCAAGUCUGGUGCCAGCAGCCGCGGUAAUUCCAGCUCCAAUAGCGUAUAUUAAAGUUGUUGCAGUUAAAAAGCUCGUAGUUGAAUUUCGGGAUCAGUACGCUGGUCGUGCCUUCGGUAUGCACUGGUGUCACUGGUUCCUCCCUUCUGAAGAACUGUCAUGCCAUUCAGUUGGUGUGGCGGGGAAUCAGGACUGUUACUUUGAAAAAAUUAGAGUGUUUAAAGCAGGCUCGCGCUUGAAUACAUUAGCAUGGAAUAAUGAAAUAGGACGUUUGAUCCUAUUUUGUUGGUUUCUAGGAUCGACGUAAUGAUUAAUAGGGAUAGUUGGGGGCAUUAGUAUUCAAUUGUCAGAGGUGAAAUUCUUGGAUUUAUUGAAGACUAACUACUGCGAAAGCAUUUGCCAAGGAUGUUUUCAUUAAUCAAGAACGAAAGUUAGGGGAUCGAAGACGAUCAGAUACCGUCGUAGUCUUAACCAUAAACUAUGCCGACUAGGGAUCGGAUGAUGUUAAUUUUUUAAUGACUCAUUCGGCGCCUUACGGGAAACCAAAGUGUUUGGGUUC